UUUGACGAAAAGCAGCGAUUGCAAAGCAAUUCAUAACAAGUGUUUUUUUUUGUUGCAAAUAUUACAUGUUUUGCUAUUUUUUUAAAAUACGUUAAUAAUAUGUGAGAUAGAGAUGUUAGUGAACCAUUAACGUUAAAGGCUUUUCGGAAUUAGUACCCAGAAUGUGUUGUUUCUGUGCUGCUUUCUGAAUCUGGUCUUUAUACGACGGAAGGAAGGAAGGAAGCGCUACCACCUCCGCCCUCUUGCCUUGAGAAAGGCACUCGAUCCCUCGCCGUCCAGCUCGUCCAGCAACGAUGUUGUCCAAUCGGUGUCCACACAAAGAAUACAACUCUAUGGUUCAAUGAGUGGCACCCGGCACUAGUCCAACUCGAAUUAUGAAAACAUAUCACACAAAUUAUCAAUUCAUCGAAUCCCGAUGGCUAUGACCAUUUGGAAGAAAUGGCUUCGAUUCUUCGGAUAGGACCUGAACAGCAAUACCAAAAACAUGUACAUUUGCUCGCUUCACUUCAGUUCAGAUUGUGCGUGAUUGUUUCGAUGGCUUGGAAGAACAAUAUCGUCGAAAACAGAUACCCACAGCUGUUCCUACUGUCAGAAAGGCCAACGAUUCUCAUGCCUCGGGAAAUCAAAACCGAAAGGCUCGCCGAAAGGUCUUGAUUGACAUAAAGCAAGAGUUGAAUCUAUUAAAAAACAUCAGUAACAUCCGCAGAAUCAGUCCAGAUUUCUAAUGGGAGGAAACAUGACUAUCCCGAGAAAGAUAUUCGGUCAGAGGAAAUCGGAAGCAGCACCAUCAACAUCUCUAAUGAGAAACCUAGCGAUUCGGCCGGUUCUAAUAGCCUAAUUUAAGCACUGCGGCUAGAGGUAUCGGAGAACUACAGAAUGCUUCCGGAAGCUAAAAUCCGUAUUCCCGAAUCAAAAUUUCCCUUAGAUUUUGAUAAGAAAUAAAACCUAAUUCGAUUAUCUUUACACUGCAAUGAAUACAUAUAUACAUUAAGCUAAAAUACAGUAGAAAUAAAUUAAUUUAGACAAAUUUAUAAUACCGUCUUAGGGGCUGUCCACAUGCCACGUGGACAGAAAAAGCAUGAUUUUACACACCCCUUUCCCCCUUCUUGGACAUUCUUCAUACUUCUCCCCCUGUUGUCCACGUGGACAUUUCUCCAGUUUUUGGAAGAAAAUCAAGAGAAUCCUUCAUGUUUGGCUUAAAUUUAAAUUUAAAAAUUUUAAAUUUUGUUUCAAUUUUCUAUUACAUGUUUUCUUAAUAGAAAUGAUAGCGUUAUUAGUAACGAUUUGUUUUGAAUUCACCGAUGUUGAUAUCAUCCCGCUGUUCAAAUCGUCUAAAUGAUGUAAUUUAUUGCUAGUUUUGAAUCGUUCAACACACCCGAAUUGUCACUCAAACGAAUAUACGUUAUUUGUAUUGACUGCAUUAAAUUUUGUGCUUCGUUAAUGUGAAGGGAUAAUGACAAUGAAUUGGUGGAUUGAACACAAAUUGAAAAUACGAAUUGUUAAUUAAAAUAUGCUUCUCCAUAUCAAAUA